AAUUUUGUUGGUUUUUUUUUUAAAUCUUGAAUACAUGUACGUGUACAUAUGAAAAAAAAAUACUUUUCUGCAUAGAUAUUUAAUAUUUAAAUCUAUGAAGUAGUUUUUCUGCUUUGUAAAUUGGGAGAUGCUUUAUUUAUUCAUAGCAAACAAAAUACAUUUAUUUACAAUACAAGUUUUCUUUAUUUGCAGUGUGUUUCCUUCCUUGACCAAUAAUAUUUUUUUUUAAUAAUGUCAGAAGUUUUGGAUAUGAUUUUAAAAGACUAUGCAUUCUUGGAGAUGAUUUUAUCAAUAUCCCUUAGUUGUUAUAAGAUGAAGACAAGUUUUCAUGUUUGCCACCUGAAUCAAGUUUACACAUUCAUUGUAUGUUGUGCAUGUCGGAGUGUUUUAAGGGAUAGAGUAGUUCUAUUCUUAUAUGGCAAAUGAGUUGUCAUUGCAACUUUCAUCAAUAAAAUUGUUGAAUAUCAAGUUAUGG
rnacentral:sRNA from 1 species